AUUGAACGCUGGCGGCAUGCCUAACACAUGCAAGUCGAGCGAGCGGCGGACGGGUGAGGAAUGUAUGGGGACUGCCCGAUAGCGGGGGAUCACUACUGGAAACGGUAGCUAAUAACGCAUACUAUCGGAUAACCCAUAUGGGAUUAGCUAGUAGGUGAGGUAAUGGCUCACCUAGGCGACGAUCCCUAGAUGGUCUGCGAGGAUGAUCAGCCACACGGGGACUGAGACACGGCCCAGACUCCUACGGAGGCAGCAGUGGGGAAUAUUGCACAAUGGGCGCAAGCCUGAUGCAGCCACGCCGCGUGUAUGAAGAAGGCCCUAGGGUUGUAAAGCACUUUCAGUCGAGAGGCGUUACCGAAAGAAGAAGCACCGGCUAACUCCGUGCCAGCAGCCGCGGUAAUAC
rnacentral:rRNA from 1 species